rnacentral:rRNA from 1 species
AUUGAACGCUGGCGGCAGGCCUAACACAUGCAAGUCGAGCGGAUGAAGGGAGCUUGCUCCUGGAUUCAGCGGCGGACGGGUGAGUAAUGCCUAGGAAUCUGCCUGGUAGUGGGGGAUAACGUCCGGAAACGGGCGCUAAUACCGCAUACGUCCUGAGGGAGAAAGUGGGGGAUCUUCGGACCUCACGCUAUCAGAUGAGCCUAGGUCGGAUUAGCUAGUUGGUGGGGUAAAGGCCUACAAAGGCGACGAUCCGUAACUGGUCUGAGAGCAUGAUCAGUCACACUGGAACUGGGAGGCAAGCCGCACUACUACAGAGGGCAGCCAGCGAGAAUGGUAGACGAUAAGGCAAAGCCUGCGCCAACCAAGCCACGCGUGUGAAGAGGAGCAUCGGGUUAUAGAACACUUUAAGGUGGGAGCAAAGGCAGUAGCUUAGUACCUAGCUGUCUUGACGUAACCAGCAGAAAGGGCACCGGCUAACUACGUG